UACCGGAUAAUACUGUUCCCCUCCUGGNGGAUGGUUGAAAGCUCCGGNGNUGCNNGAUGANCCCGCGGCCUAUCNGCUUGUUGGUGGGGNAAUGGCCUACCAAGGCGACGACGGGUAGCCGGCCUGAGAGGGCGACCGGCCACACUGGGACUGAGACACGGCCCAGACUCCUACGGGAGGCNNNNNUGGGGAAUAUUGCACAAUGGGCGAAAGCNUGAUGCAGCGACGCCGCGUGAGGGAUGACGGCCUUCGGGUUGNAAACCUCUUUCAGCAGGGAAGAAGCGAAAGUGACGGNACCUGCNGAAGAAGCGCCGGCUAANUACGUGCCANCAGCCGCGGUAAUACGUAGGGCGCAAGCGUUGUCCGGAAUUAUUGGGCGUAAAGAGCUCGUANGCGGNCUGUCACGUNGGGUGUGAAAGCCCGGGGCUUAACCCCGGGUCUGCAUUCGAUACGGGCAGACUANAGUGUGGUANGGGAGAUCG
rnacentral:rRNA from 1 species